ensembl:lincRNA
AGAAAGGCCUAUAUUCUAGACUUAUACAUUGAACAAAUGCCACCAUUUACAAAAUAGCUUUCUUGAAUCUGAAUGCUUCAAGCAACUGCAAAAGGAAUGAUUCAGAGACUUCAGGGUGGCAAACUGCAAAAUACCACGGACUUGUUCAGUGCACAGUCACGUGGAACAGAAAGAGACUCGCCCUGGAAGCCUGAUGGACAAGCACACGCCAGCUUCCCUCCCUCCCUCCUUCCUCAGCCACUAAGCGGGCAACUAGUGUUUAGCACAAGUAGCCCUUUGGAGAAUAAAACAGCUCUUUUGCAUGCCCAGUGAUAAUUGUUAGUCCUGGCGCAAAUGGACUGAAAUGUUGGGUCAUGGAAAAAUACUAGACUAGGGCAAAGGCAAUUGUAAUUCUGUUUGGAAACAUCAUUGGCUUGCAAAGCAGUGUUUCAACUUUGAGAAACCCCAUUUAAACAAGUGGAAGGAGUGGCGUCAUUUAAAUACACCCAAGCAAAUACGACGAACUGCUGUACCUAACCUUGAAGAUUUGCUCGGUAACAACCGAGAACGGCAGCUUGCCUGAUUCAGUUCUGUCAAAACCAAGGAGGAAGGCCAGGGGAACCAACCACACACACUUUACAAAGGGAGGACGUGGUUAAGGGAUAUUAAUACGUUAGAGCUAAGAACAUAGGUGGGAAAAAAAAAGGAAUUAUCAUGACAGUGACAAAUGGCC